rnacentral:rRNA from 1 species
ACGGGUGAGUAACGCGUGGGAACAUACCCAACUCUACGGAAUAACUCACGGAAACUUGUGCUAAUACCGUAUACGCCCUUCGGGGGAAAGAUUUAUCGGAGUUGGAUUGGCCCGCGUUGGAUUAGCUAGUUGGUGGGGUAAAGGCCUACCAAGGCGACGAUCCAUAGCUGGUCUGAGAGGAUGAUCAGCCACAUUGGGACUGACACACGGCCCAAACUCCUACGGGAGGCAGCAGUGGGGAAUAUUGGACAAUGGGCGCAAGCCUGAUCCAGCCAUGCCGCGUGUGUGAUGAAGGCCUUAGGGUUGUAAAGCACUUUCACCGGAGAAGAUUAUGACGGUCUCCGGAGAAAAAGCCCCGGCUAACUUCGUGCCAGCCGCCGCGGUGAUACCAAGGGGGCUAGCGUUGUUCGGAAUUACGGGGCGUAAAGCGCACGUAGGCCGAUCGAUCAGUCAGGGGUGAAAUCCCACAGCUCAACUCUGGAACUGCCUUUGAUACUGUCGGUCUAAGUUGGAAACAUAAUGAGUGGAAUUCCCGAGUGUAGAGGUGAAAUUCGUAGA